GCCACAGUCGUGGCCGAGUGGUUAAGGUGAUGGUCUUGAAAACGAUUGGGUUCCUUACGCGCAGGUUUGAACCCUGCCGACGGCG
rnacentral:tRNA from 1 species